UUGAUUUAUUUUGUUUUUAAAACUCAGACUUCAAUAUAAUAAAAGUGUUUUUUGAAAAUAACUUUGGCGAACGCUCACUCACAAUUUCUUGUCAGUGGGCCCUUUUCCCCUCUUUUUUUCCCGAAGGAAAAAAUAUCAAGAAAUUAGGCACCGUUUCGCCAAAGAUGAACAAAUUAUGAUUCACAAAAGGGUGGGAGUUGAGAUGCUUCGGUAAAAAAACAUAUUUCUCAAAACUCGGUAAUGAUCCUUCCGCAGGUUCACCUACGGAAA
rnacentral:misc_RNA from 1 species